GAUGAACGCUGGCGGCGUGCUUAAUACAUGCAAGUCGAACGGAAAGGCCCUGCUCUUGUGGGGUGCUCGAUAGGCGAACGGGUGAGUAUCACGUGAGUAACAUGUACUUGUCUUUGGGAUAACUUCAGGAAACUGGGGCUAAUAUCGGAUAGGAUCUCUUGCUGCAUGGUGGGGGAUGGUAAGAUUCGGCGGUUGGGGAUAGUCUCGCGGCUUAUCCGCUUGUUGGUGGGGUAGUGGCUUACCAAGGCUUUGACGGGUAGCCGGCCUGGGAGGGUGACCGGCGACAAUGGGACUGAGAGACGGACCAGACUCCUACGGGAGGCAGCAGUGGGAAAUAUGACACAAUAGGCGGAAGCCUGAUACAGCAACGCCGCGUUCGUGAUGACGGCCUUCGGGUGGUAAACCGCUUUCGCCUGUGACGAGGCGUGAGUGACGGUAAUGAGUAAAAAAGCACCGGCUAACUACGUG
rnacentral:rRNA from 1 species